UACGAAGGGGGCUAGCGUUGUUCGGAAUUACUGGGCGUAAAGCGCGUGUAGGCGGGCCGGAAAGUCGGGCGUGAAAUCCCUGGGCUCAACCCAGGAACUGCACUCGAAACUUCCGGUCUAGAGUGGUGGAGAGGGAAGUGGAAUUCCUGGUGUAGAGGUGAAAUUCGUAGAUAUCAGGAGGAACACCAGUGGCGAAGGCGGCUUCCUGGACACCAACUGACGCUGAGACGCGAAAGCGUGGGGAGCAAACAGG
rnacentral:rRNA from 1 species